rnacentral:rRNA from 1 species
UACGUAGGGUGCGAGCGUUGUCCGGAAUUAUUGGGCGUAAAGAGCUUGUAGGCGGUUUGUCGCGUCUGCUGUGAAAAUCCGGGGCUCAACCCCCGGACUUGCAGUGGGUACGGGCAGACUAGAGUGUGGUAGGGGAGACUGGAAGUUCCUGGUGUAGCGGUGAAGUGCGCAGAUAUCAGGAGGAACACCGAUGGCGAAGGCAGGUCUCUGGGCCACUACUGACGCUGAGAAGCGAAAGCAUGGGGAGCGAACAGG